UGGUUAGCUGCCUGGUGCGGGUGCUGAGUUGACCUAGGGUUCUGUUUCGCUGGGGUUGGCAUUUUGUACAGCCAAUACAACCGAGAAUGAUGGCCGUCGGAGCUCGGAGUGAAUACAGCGAAUGAUUCCAAUAGGAACCACGGACUCUGAUCUGGCUGGGACCAUCUCAUAAUGUUUGUGUACAUUCCUGUUGUCUUCUACCUCCCAUCCACCGUGUCUCUCUACUGCCUAUAACCAGCCUACAUAAGGCCCUGAACAGACUGGAUGAUGCCCACCCACACGGAUGAAGGGCGGAUGUUGUUUACUCAGUCUGCUGAUUCCAACGCUAAUCUUUUCCAGAAACACCAUCACAGACACACCGAGAAAUAAUGCUUUAUCACCUAUGUGGGCAUUCUUGAGCCCAAUCAAGUUGCCACAUGAAAUUUACCAUCACACCUACCUGUCCACCUCUGCCCACACCUACUUUAAGUUUAACCCAAUAAUAAAUGAGACUUAAUCUCAUUUUUAGAGCCCUCCAAUGAAAAAUUUGUUAUUGUACUUCAUAAGACUUUUUGAUAUUUAACAGGUCUCAAGAAAGAUUUUUUUUGGCAAAAGCCAUACUUACACAAAGAAGACAUGGGUUUUAGACUGACUUUGGCCCUUUCUACCUGUAGGGUCACAUACUUUCACAAUAUGGACAAAAUGAUGCUACUGUGCCUUUCCCACAGGAUUGCUGUAUAAAUCAUUUGUGAAUUCUAAGAUUAUUGAGAUGAUUAUGCUUAUGAAUAUCUUAUUAUAUAAUAACUUUUCCCAUUUUAAAAAGAAUUGCAUUUAUAGACAUAAAUGACUAAGGUGGCUUUUAAAAUUCCCGAAGAAAAUCUUUUUAGAUAUAUACCAUUCUAAUGACUUGUAUUUAUUAGACAAGUCUGGAUUUAAAAAUGGGAGUUUAUAGUCAUUUAAGCCAACUAAUAAUAAUAUCUAAGGAGCCUGGAUGAGUAAAGACUCUUCAAUUCACAGUCAAAUGCCAAGUGAGGCUUAUAUUUUCGUUAGGAAAGUUUCGCCAGGGUGAUUGUUUUAAUUACUUUUAUUGGAAUAACAGUAGCUAAUAAAGCAAUCCAGAUUGUUACCAAGCUCAGUAGGAGAGAAAAUAAUAGGAUGUCUUCACAUCUUAUGACUAGAAAUCAUGUCCUCAGAUACUUUGUUUCUUCCUCUUUCAUUGUGGUGUGAAAAGUAGAAAGAAAGCUCCCCUCUGCAGGGGAAGUUUUAUAGAGAUGGUAACCUGGUUAUACUCUGUCUUUUAGGAAUCCUUGCAGAGUUGGGAAUAGCACAUUUCUCACUAUAUAUAUAUAUAUAUAUAUAUAUAUAUAUAUAUAUAUAAUAUAUAUAUGGUAAUUUUUGUGUGGAUUUAUAUUACCUUUGAUCCCCAGACAUUGUUUGAAAAACUUGAGGAAGGAGGAAAAAGAAUCAGAUGGUGACGGAACUCAUGUGGCUGACUGAG
rnacentral:lncRNA from 1 species